rnacentral:rRNA from 1 species
AACGAACGCUGGCGGCAGGCUUAACACAUGCAAGUCGAACGAGAUCUUCGGAUCUAGUGGCAGACGGGUGAGGAACACGUGGGAACAUCCCUUUCAGUUCGGAAUAACGUUGGGAAACUAACGCUAAUACCGGAUACGUCCUUCGGGAGAAAGAUUUAUCGCUGAAAGAUUGGCCCGCGUCUGAUUAGCUAGUUGGUGAGGUAAUGGCUCACCAAGGCUACGAUCAGUAGCUGAUCUGAGAGGAUGAUCAGCCACAUUGGGACUGAGACACGGCCCAAACUACUACGGAAGGCAGCAGUGUGAAAUAUUGGACAAUGGGCGCAAGCCUGAUCCAGCCAUGCCGCGUGAGUGAUGACGGCCUUCGGGUUGUAAAGCUCUUUUGUCCGGGAAGAUAAUGACUGUACCGGAAGAAUAAGCCCCGGCAAACUUCGUGCCAGCAGCCGCGGUAA